ensembl:lncRNA
UUUAAGAAUGGGAGAGAAAGCCGGUUCCUAGGAUAAGGUAACCGUUUAACACGAGAGUGUAGCUUUUCAUCAACUCCAAACUGCUUUCACAUGUUAAUGCACGGACGCCUCCGAGCCUCCGAAGGCGUCAGCAUCACUCCACUUAGAGCAGCGGAGGGCGGGAGACAGGUACCUAAGACCACAGCGGCGGGGGUCCUGGCCUCCGUCGAAAGGAGGGGAUCCCAGGCCUUGCGGCUCUAAGGCCAGAGCUGGGAUUGGGGCUGGAAGGCCUUUGCUCCCCUCCCACCACCCUGACGCCCCAACCCCAGGGUCAACUUCGGCUUCAGAACAGCGAACCAUCAGGCAGAGGUGAGCAAACGCAGGCCCAGCCGCAGUCCUCAUGGAACCCACGGGCGAAGGCUCUGAUUUACAUUUUUAAGCGAUAUAUGUAUAUAUAUUUUAAAGGAAGACUAUUCCAUAACAUGUAAGAAUUCCACGAAAUUUGAGUUUUACCGCCCAUAACGGUUUUACUGGCGCUCAGCACCCACUCCUUUAGGCCUGGCCCGCAGCUGCUUCUGCGCUCCUCCGGCAGCGCGUGGGGCCCGCCCGGCCUCCGGCGGGGAUAACCUCCUGGCCCUCCACACAAAGGUCACGGCCCGACCCAAAGGAUGCUGGUCUUCUUGUGAAAACUAUAAAGUUCGAAGUGCGGUAAAUGAAGAGCGUCCCCUCCAUCCUGGCUGCUAGAGAUGCUGGGGCUCAAUCGAGCCUGUUCUUCCAACCCGGCAAGGCCAACACCCGGACCCGUCUUGCUCCAUUCCCUUAUUUUUGGUCCCCACGCCAUGGUUACAACAACCACGUCAACAGUCACGAAGCACCUACACACCACACACCAGGAGCCGUGCUCAUACGUGCUGGAGAUCUCACUGGGGGUGGGGGUGAGAAAGCAGAGGCUUAGCGAUCAGGCAAUGCGCCCAAGUUCAGAGGCGACGACGGACCCGCGCUCUUCACACGCCAAACUACCGCAAAAGGCAAGACUCUGAACGCCCUCCUGCUACAAUAUCCUUCUAGAACUGUGGAGCUUGAGGCCAAACAUGAAACUUCCACUUCAAUGAGGCAGAACUGGACCACAUCAGGCAACUAAUGCCCCAGGCCCUGGGUACGAACACACCUUAGUGUCGUCUCCCCCCCCCAAAAAAAAACCCCACACACCUGUCAGGCAGGCUGUGGUGUUACACCUACAACUGCUACUGUUUCUGCCCCACAAAUGACACCACUUUGAUCAAAACAGUACAAUUCCAUAUUUUCAGAAACAAAACCUGGCCUCAGAGAGGCAUGCUAGGUUAGCUAACACUCAGAAGGUGGCACUUGGUCACUGGGAGCCGUGGGUAUGCUUUGCAUAUCUUUCCAUUUGAACUUCACGGCUCUAGGAGGCAAGCCCUGGUCCCGGGUUUUACAGAUGAGGACACCGAGCUUUCAAGGUUAAUUUACUCCAGGUGACAGGGCCGGAUUUCCACAGCUCGGUUUUCUGAUUCCAAACCCACGCAGCACUUUCAAACAGCAACCUUCACUCCUAACAGCCUCAGUGUUGCCUUCAAGUAAAGGAGAAGUUAGAUCUUUUUAAAGCACCGACCACCCCACCUGCUAGCACCUCAACUAUCCUCUGAAGACUUCCCCAAACAAAAACUCAGAAUCCUAAGUUCAGGUGCACACGUGCGUCCUUUCUCUGCAAUGCACCCAGUUCUUUCCCAACGCGGGUCUUUGAGGACCUGAGCCAGUUCCAUCCCUCAGAGCCCAUCUCCCCACGGAACCUCCAGAGGGCAGGGGUUCAAUAAACACGCUGAACAAACGCAAACUUUGUAGAAGAUACGACCUGUAAAUGCCUUCUGCGAGGAAAGUGGUGAGGAGAAACCCGGAAGGUACAGAGUAAACAAAGAAAGCGCUCAAUUGGGCACACAACGCGCUGGUGGAACGGUUUUACCUUCAGGACAAUUUUUUACACAUGUGAGAUACAACUUACGUAUAAGGUGCUACCUUCACCCAAAUACUCACGGAAUGAGUUAACUGACUCGGUAUUUAUAGUCACAAAAAUGAACGAUGCGUGGAUUCUCAAGCCCAAACGCUCAAAGAAUAAGUCCAUAGAGAAACCAAAGCCCUCCCACCCUCAUGCUACGUACUUUCCCAGCUCUGUCUCGGCCUCUACUUCUGGGCCUUCCCCAGACAACACCCUCCUUCCUUCUUGAAAACCAGGAGAUCUUUUCCCCCUUUGUCCAAACCUCCCCAGACAGUAUCUUGAGCACAGUCUGGCAUCGCUAAGGUGUAAAAUGGUUGAAGAGAAUGGACCAUGUUCAGUGCCAGCCAAGGUACACUGACCACGUACAAUGUAAGGGCAGGCCACAAACCCACCACCAAGUCUACACAUGGCAAAACCUCCUACAGAGAACGUUUGCAAACACUUGCUUUUCAAAAGCAACAGAAAGUUGCUAGAAGGCCAUCACUGUUGGCAAGAGAGCUCCAUUCGGUGCCAACUGCGAUAACCCACUCCGGGAGAAGAGCCUGAAGAAGGUUCACCUGCUUCUUAUGAAGGGUUCACGAGGGCCAAGGGGCUCUGUCUGUUACAGACGCUUGCACUUCCUAAGUCCCUAAACACCCAAGUCCCUAAACACCUCCAAGAGGUGAACCCAGAGAGUUUCCACAAGUUUUAAGUCUCUCAUGAAGAUGUAUAUACGGAAAUAUAUACGCCACAGAAGAACCCUUUAUCCAAAAGAACAGAAAGGCUUCCAAGCUUCCAUACUCCCGGGAAGCCGACUUUGCAACACGUCAAGAAGUUACAUCGAGGCGUACAAAACAUGUCUAAAGAUCCCAACUGACAACCGCACAACUUGAAGUCGACGCUGGCAAACCCAUCGCCC